rnacentral:lncRNA from 1 species
CACAGAACAGAAGGCAGGUUUGAUGCCACAGGUGAUUUCAUUUUGCCUGUCCGAAGUGUUACUAUAGGGGCUGCCUUGGCGGCUGCAAAACCAGCUGUAUCAGAGCAAAGAUGACGGCCCCUUUUGCGCGCUCCGUGGCCAGCUAGUACCGAGAGGCUUUGUCCUCUUUGGCGACCAGCCCUAUAGCCGGGGCACCUCCAUCCUUUCCCCACCCUGGGGACAGCUCUAGGGGCUCGUGAACCUCACUUCACCACGUGUUCUAACUGCCUCCUGGCUUCGAUGAGCGACGCCAGCAACAGUCCAAGCCCAGCCAAAAGGACCCAAUAGAGGAUAUGUCUUCCUCCCCGACAGCUUCCUGAGAACCCCUAAUGUCCAUCUGUCUGGUGAGCAAGACAAAUCGUGCCCUUUGUGUGGUAACAAAAUCUGGUGACCAUGAAGGGACAAUAAGUUCUGCUCAUGGCCAGUCGACCUCAGAUGAGUGACCUGUUGGUGCUAUGUCCUGAGAGCUUGGCUUGGUGACGUCUCUGGUCACAAGGGGUCCCAGUCCAUCGGGGGCCUGUGUCGUCUCAACCUUUGUUGCCUGUCAGUGCACUACCACCUGUGCAGCAGAAGCCUUUGCUUCCUUGGAUUAUUUUUGGGAGUGAAGUUUCUAGAUCUUGUGAGGUCUGCUUCUUUUGCACUCUCUUGUGAAGAUGCCUCUUGCAUCCAAGGCCUAACUUCAGGAACCCACCUGCAUCACCAUCUUACUAAGAGACUGGUUCAAUGAGAUGGAACAACCUAUGCUCCUCAACGACAGGAUGUCCCUCAAGAUUGAGGAAUGAAAAACAAAAAGGCAGAAUUGAAACCGACUCAACACAAGAUUGACAUAACGCAAGCCAUAUUGUAGAAAAGAGACCAUGUUGUAACUUUGAAUGACCUCUGACUGACUAACCCAGCUGGAUUUGCACCCUCCAGGAGAUCCACCUGUUCUGUGGAUUUUAUGACCUCUGCUAGUGCAUAUACCUGCCAUCUGCAAUAAGAUGAUAACUUCAUGCUUUUGAGUUCCUUAGGAAUGUGAUGACCCCCCAAACAGAGAGUCUAUGCUGAUAGCCAUCUUCAAUGAAAACUGAAAGAUCUGGUGUGGCAACUCCCAGUCUGCAACACCAGAGGGUCAACAUUCCUAACCCCUCCCCUAUAACCCACUGGCCUAUAUAACUGCUUCAAGAUUCUGUGUCCCUUUUAAGAUUGUUCUUUUGGACAUUAUUAGGCCAUCUUCCCUCUUGCUAGCAAGCUGUAAUAAAAUGCCCUUUCUCUGCCACCAUCUUGCCUCUUGACGAUUGGCUUUUGUCCUGUGGCGAGCAGAUUGGGCUCUUUGUGUGAUAACAGUUUGAUUACUCUAAGCCUUCUCCCAAUGUUCUUGGCUACUUGUCCUUCUUCCUUAGAGCAUUUGUCUUGUCUCUAAGCCCUUGCUUUAAACCUAUGCUGUCUCCUCAUGGUGUCACACAUGCACACAGAGGACAGAAACACUUUCUUAAUGGAGGAUUGGAACCAAAGUGUUUGAAGAGGCCCCUCAGCACCCCUGAGCAUGGAGGCCAGAGUGGUUUGUCCUUCACCGUCACCAUGUCUCAUUCUCCUAAAGAGCUGGCUCAAAAGGAAAUGCACAGAUGCCCAGACUAUUUGCUAAAGGAAAUGACACAUUAUCCUCUUCCGAACAUCUGGUAAUUCCUAAAAGACAGUCAGGCCCUGAUAAUACGGUUGGCUCACUAGAAGCCUGAGUCUUCUUUCCCAAGGGAGGUGGGGGCGAACCAAGGAGGACAGAGUCUAUUUUUGGUGUCAGCCCUAGGGGAUGCCUUGAGGAGGGGGAGAGGGGUCACCAGCACUGCUGUUCUGUUCUGUUCUGUGAGCCAGGAAUGCAUGCUUCCUUCCUGUCCAGCCCUGAGCAGCCGUCUCUUUCUUAAGUUUCAGAUCUUCCAUGGAGAGCUGAAAAGAUUUAAAAAUUCCAUCAUGGGCCGGAAUGGCUUGACAUGAGGGCAGGUGAACUAAUGACUUGGGGAAAUGAGAUUUGUCAGAACACUGGGUGUUGAAGUUACUGCAAAGGAAAGCAGAGCUGUGUCAGGUUGAGUGGCUAUCACAAGAUGGAAUAGUGACUCAGAGGACUCACUAGCAUCUGGCUGCCCCUUGGCUAGGAAAUGCACAUUUUUUUUAGCCCUAAGGCAUCCUCUGGAGGCAAAAUGCAACAUGUAGAAAGAAUAGGAGAGGUGUGCGUGGAGUGCCUCGCUUCCCCAGUUAAUUGAUUUUGCACAGGUGAGAAGAAGCAAGCCUUGAACUCAAUGGGAAAUCCCGGAGGUGGAUGCCUCAGGACUGACCCCCGUUGGUCAGCAUCUAGACCAAUGAAGCACCUUAAGUCGAGGACUGAGAGAAGCAAGUCUUGUUCUCAUUAAAUUAGCCCAGGACUGGGGAGUGGGUGGAGGGGGUUGGGGAGGGCACCUCUGCCUCAGGAUCUAAGGCCACUUGUUGUACCAGGUCUUUGUUUUGUCCCAGCCAGGGCACUCUGGGGAAAGCAUCCUGAGAAUUCGCCCUGCAAACAGAAAGGGCAUUUCCUUGUGUGGGUUUCCUGUUUAGGUCUGCGUAGAAACCCAAAGGAUCACUUGGCCUCAUAAAUCCUCUAGACAUUACUGAUGUAGAUGCUCUGGCUAGAUGCCAUGGGAAAAUUGCACAAAAAUAGAAGAAGAGAGGAAAGCGCAUUCCCUCUCAGGAUUCUGGGUGGGUUUCAGGCUUCAUGUUUUUGUAAAUAGAGGGGGUUGGGCUAGAGGAGAUGAUCUUAAGUUCCCUUCCAGCUUUGCUAUUCUCAGAUUCCGUUGCCCUCCCAAGGGUCACCCGGAGCUCCCGCUCUCCCGCUCAGUAAUGGGGGUCUGCUGAGCACCUCUCCAAACAGAAGCAGGAUGGAAGUUUCAGGCAAAAAAUCAGGAAGUUGCCUUAGAAUCUCUUUUAGGCUCCUUCACAGAAAAAAGGUACUGGUUGAACUCUGGUAAUUCCCAGACUUUCCUAAACAUUUAGUUUUUUCCAAAAAUGACAGAUACCAGAUUCAGGAGUAUUGCAGGAGGUUUGCGGCUGGGUUUUGGCAUAAAGCAAGUUCACAGAAUGGACUCAAAAGUGGUGGAUAAGAUGUGUGUUAGGAGAUAUCACGCAUUUCGGGAUUCUUUUUUACUUCCUGUUCCCCUCAAGUUUUGCAUGUGUCAAAUGGGCAUUCAAACCUGUUGGUUUAAUGGAAGAAGCCAUGUUUUCAUACUUAUUCUGUGACAGAUUCCCCUUGGAGUCUGACCAAACAUUAGGUUAGAUGAGAGCGAUGAGGUGAAGACAGGAUUUCUUGCCGAAGAUUCCUGUGAGGAUAUUCUCAUUGUCUUAAAUUAUACUUUUUGUGUUCUAUUUUCUCACUUGUCCUUGUUUGUAUCAUUUAAAAAAUUUCUCAUAUGGAACUGCCCUUUUUUGGAAAGGCAGUACUAAAAUGAUAUUGAGUAACAUUAAGUUAACCUCCUUAGACUGGCGGUUCAGUGCUCUAGUAAGCUGACUAGAUAUUCUACUUAAAUGUGGAUAGACCCAUUUAUACAGCAACAUUUCUCAAGGCAAGAUUGCUCUCUUCUCAGUUCUCUCAGGUAUGAAUUGUGAUGUUUGUCUAUAAAAGUCAUUCCCUAGAGGAUAUUCUUACAUCUUUGUAAAUAAUUCAGCAAAGGAAGAUUACUUCCAAGGUCCCCUUCUGUUAUUUCACUUCCAAAUUUUGCUGUUGUGUAUCUGAAAUACAUUCUCCUUUUCCCUUGCUGACUCUGAAGUGGUUCUUAACUAAAGAAGCGGGAGGAAGGUAAAACGAUAUGAAGUUCUAAGCUUUCUGGGUCAGCACUCCCCAGAACACUAGUCCCUGGAAAGGUGUUUUCGAAUGUGCUUUCUGUGUCAAAUGUGUUGGAAAAUGCUGCUGUCCUUGAGAAUCACACUGCACUCUAGGGUGUUAGAACUCUGAAAAUUCAGACAAUAAAGAAACGUGUUCAACUUUAACUCAGCACUUCUCAAACUUAUCUGAUCAAGAACAUCUCUUUUUAUAUGAUAUCUUUAGCAGCCGUUAACAGAUGGAGGAGUAAGUGUUACAUGGGAAACAUUUUGAGAAAUGUUCUUCUCAGCCAGAAGACAGAGUUCACUGUCUUUUAUUUAGCACCUGGGGAUAUAUAUAUAUAUGCUAUAUAUAUAUAUAAAUACUAUGUAUAUAUAUAUAUACUAUGUACAUAUAUGUACAUAUACAUACAUAUACUGUGUCUAUUUUUGUUUGCCCCAUAUCUUCAACAAUGAACAUGAAUUAUUUCUAUAUUUCAGCUGAAAAACAAAAUAAACUUUAUUUUUAAAAAAGAAUCAACAUUAAGUUUCUAUACUUUUCAUUCGUGCUUAAGUGGACACAUCCACCUGCCUGCGGAGAAGCCGUCGGUUGUUCCUCCCACUUCUAGUCAGUUAUCUUGGUUUGCUUGGGGUUCCAUAGCGCUUGUCUUCUAAGGUCCUCUGUGUCUGUCCUUGGAGUGCGGACAGCUCCUUCAGACUGAGGGUAAAGCAAUUCACACAUGGCGGAAUGGUCCACCUGGGACAAGGAAAUGGCCCAAUCAAGCCCUCCAUACUAACUUGUUACUGGAUCAUGUGUCCAUGGGAGGACGUUGGCAGACCAGUCGGAAUUCUUGGUUGCUACCAAGCAAAAUCUCUCCUAGUUGACUUGAGCGGAAAGUGAACUUAUUGGAAGAGUGUUGUGCAGCUCACAGAAUCAGUGGGAAGGCUAGAGAACCAGGUGAUGAAAAUGAAUAAAAAUUGAGGGAGGCAGGACACAGCCAAGAUCUUGCCAGAGGGAUAGUCCACUUAGGGUGCGCCGCUGCUGCUGUCACUGCUGGACACGUGUCAUAAUGCUGCUGGGCUCUGAUCAGGCAUUGGUUGCUAUGCUUGCGGGCACUCAAAUCCACCACAGCCACUGCAAAUGACUUCUGCCUCCCCACAGGCUUCAGGUCCUAGAUGACAUGAUGGGGUCUCUGAUGGGCUGAGCCCAAGUGAUGUGCUGGUUUCCUAGUUUCUGGGGCACAGAUAGAAACUCUCUGCCCUCUUUGGCUUCUAAAGUAGGAAUCGGGGUCUUGCCUUCCCUCUAUUCUGGGGUUCCCCCCAAAUGGGAAGGAUGUUUAAAGGCUGGGAAACUAGAAUGACAAAUAUGUAUAACAUUUCGGUUUUCCGUCCAAGAGUUGCUGGGACCUUGGAGAGGCAGGGUCAAAUCAGGGCCAGCCCUGUUCAGAAAGGAACUCACUCUCCCAGAGCCGCAUUUUGCAUGGUUUUCUUUCAACCUGGAUUCCUAAGAUGGCAAAGCUUCCAGCAGAUUUCUUGAUCAGUUGAUAGAAAAAUCUGCCCCUCGGAAUAACUGACCUCUCCUAAUAAAAACCAUACUAAAUAAUAAAAUCAGAGUGGUCAUUUUUCAGAGGAACCAGGAGGCAUAUGCAGACUGCCCACCCCACUAGAGGCGUAGACUUUGUUGCUUACUGUCUGUCAGCCACAUGCGUUGUCUGCAGGGCACUGACCAAGAAAAAUGAAGGAAUAACAAAGCAUCAGCAGGAUUUUUUCUCUGACGAGCUUACAGUUUAGGGAAGCUGAUUAAAUAGAUUGAAAGGCCCUCUGAGUACAGGGAAUGGGAAAGGAAUGGAAAGUGUAAACACGGAUCUCCUAUUGACUUCCUUAUUCGGGAACAUAUCUUUCUGCUUGCAAACUUCUAGAUGUUGGGGUUGAGUCCAGAAACCAAAAGAUGAGGUCCAAGGAGAGAGAUGGUACUGCUGUGGCUGCUGACAAAUCCUUAGAUGCCAGACCCAGACCCAAAACUGGACUGUGUAGGAGAAAACUGGUGGGGGUGACCACUUCAGAGCCUGGAGUCUUAGGAGUGGAACUAGAAAUCAGUGAUUAAAAAAUGAGAAAAAUUCCUUGUUUUGGAACUAACUUGGCUAUGCUCACCUCAGAGUAAAUUGUCCAGCCACUUGAACAGCUUCCAUUGUUCACUGGGACCUUUUGAGGAUUGUCAAUCUAUUCACAGGGAAGCGGGUUCCAAGAUCAGAGUCUGUUUCCAAUGGGUCAUGAGUACAAAGAGCAUGCCUUUCAAUCUGUAAAUUACCUCCCCGGAAAAUCAGGAGAAAAGAAAUUGAAGAGUGGAAAGGAGGCCUGAGGCUACAGGUACAUCAACAUUUAAAGAAUGUGUCAAGUAUGAACUCUAGUCGAUGUGGUGGAAUUCAAGUACAUAUACACUGUAGAGAGCAGGAAGCUUGGAAAAUAAAGCUUUCCUACGUCUUCUGGAAUGUAGACACUUUGUUCAGGAUCUACAAGGUAAAGAAUUCCAUAGGAAGUAUUUGUUUAAUUAAUUGUAGCCAGAACUUAGCUGUGGGUAGGCCAGAUUCCAUGGUGUAAUGUUAUUGCUUCUCCAAGCAGGAUACGUGCAUACUUUAACUCAAGUGCAAACCCACAAGAUUUGAACUCCUAACCUUUAAAAAAUAAGGCAGUUACUUUGGCCACCAGGCAUCCCGGUUCUUGUUUACCAGGACUGGGAGUUCUUAUCAGACAGAGCCCUGCUUAUUCCAUGCCCCUGGCAGAAUCAUACUGAGAAACCUGAAGGAAUGUCCAUUUUAAAAUAGUGUCUGUGGCACCAAAAGGAUUCUGGGGCUCUGAAUCAGCCUCUUACCUCAUGGCAAAAUUCAUAGCUUGCAGAGUUAAAUGAAAAUCAGAUUGGAAUGUACGGCCUUCUAUUUUUCCGUAAUGACAUGUUGUGAGGAGCAGGAGGGCAAUUUUCUUGGACAUUCCUCUAAAACCAGUGCACUUGCACAGGGUGUUUUUGGUAUACAAAACUAUCUGAAACAGACCCACAGCCCACUGCCCUCUCUGGGUGCCAGGGCUCAGGGCCACAUAGGCCAUUUGUCCAAAGACUGUAAGUAAAAUCAACAAUCAUUCAUUUCCCUCAACGCGUUAGCCUCUUUUCAAAGCAGUCAGAAAGUAGACUGUGGUACUUCCUCUUUUCUCUGAAGUAGUUUAAUGAUAACAGAAGAAAAAGUAUUCUCUAAAACACAAUCUUAGACUUCAACUCCACCUACAAGCUGAAAGAAUUUUGUAAGGAAACAAGAAAAAAAAAGGAAAGAAAUGUCUGUUCCUCACAUCUAUGAAAAAUCCACAUACUAUGACCUGAGAAGGAAAAAUAAACAUAGUCCAUGAAAUUCUGUGGCAAAAAGGAAUGAAAAUGUUCUUAGAAAAAAAAAGAAAACUGAACUGUAUUCUCUGCAGGUUUAAAGGCAACUUUUGCCAAAAUCUGCUUUCUGGAAACUUUCCUGUAGACCUGGCUCCCACCAGCAGGCUUGGCGGCAAGAGAAGGGCUUGGAAGACUGUGGCUUGGAAUGUGUGAAUGUUAAAAUCAGACAUCGUUCCCUUUUCUCUAUAACAACAACAAGACUUUGGUUUUGGCUGGAUGCAUGCUGGGGUUUCCGGUCCUGCCUUGAAUCUCUUCCUGCUUCAGCUCAGAACUGUUGAGGGGAUCUCAAUACUCCAGUUCAUUUUCUCUUUGACCACCAGUUUCCCCUUUCUCACAAUGCCCCUGAGAAGCCAAUAGACACCAUUUUCAUGCUGAAACGAAGAAAUAACUGAGUGAGUAGGAAAUGAGAUGUAGAAGGCCACACAGCAAGUUGGAAGAAGAUUCUGGAUGGAAAGUUGGAAUUUCCAUGUCUUCCCCAGGUCUGCAAGCCUGGUCCACUAAGCUAAGUUUUUCUGAGACAUUGAGGCCCACAGAUGCAUGCUGACUCACAGGCAUAAGGAGUGCUUCCCUGGGAUUUCUUGAUUUGGAGCCUGAGGAAGAACAGCCUUGCCGCUGAGGCCAGGUGCUAAAGGGCUAUGAAGGUGAGAGCAAGAGCACAAACGAAUGCUACAUCUGGUUCUUCCAAAUAACAGAGAGACACAGGAAAACUGAAUGUGUUCUUGCCUCAGGUUCAGACUUGUUCAGUACAGCAAGCACUACAGUGCGUUUCCAUAUUGACUUUGGGAAAAACACAUUGCACUGUUUAUGAAGUUCUGUAGUCAAUCAGCAAACACAAAUCUAGCCCCUACUUGAGACUGCUAAUAAAGCAUAUUUAUUAUGUCCUCACUCCCAAACCCAGUGUAACAACUCUACAAACUAUAUACAUGAAUAACUACGGCCAGAGUUUAUUUCAUAAUAUAUUAAAAAUUCUAACUUGAAGAGGCAAUCAAUUCUACCAGCUCCAGAAGCUCCUUUCUGUUACCAUUACCAAUGGCUAAAACUAAUGGUUAGGCCACUAAAUAUCAUGUAGGGGAAAAAACCCUUUGUUUCCUCUUUAAAUUUUUGAGAAAGAACAAAUUGUGUUGAACAAACAUGAUAAUGAAAAUAUUAUAGCUUUGCUGGGUAUUGUUACAUUUUCAUUGUGUUGUAACCGCCUCUCAGGAUUAUGUUUUUCUAGCAUGGGGCAUUGUCUAUUUUUUUUUCUUCUUAUUCUCCCCAAAGCCCCCCAGUAUGUAGUUGUAUAUUCUAUCCGGGAGUGCCUCUGGCUAUGCUAUGUGGGAUGCUGCCUCAGUGUGGCCUGAUGAGUGG